AUUGAACGCUGGCGGCAGGCCUAACACAUGCAAGUCGAGCGGGGUUUUCGGACCUAGCGGCGGACGGGUGAGUAAUGCGUAGGAAGCUACCCGAUAGAGGGGGAUACCAGUUGGAAACGACUGUUAAUACCGCAUAAUGUCUACGGACCAAAGUGUGGGACCUUCGGGCCACAUGCUAUCGGAUGCGCCUACGUGGGAUUAGCUAGUUGGUGAGGUAAUGGCUCACCAAGGCGACGAUCCCUAGCUGGUUUGAGAGGAUGAUCAGCCACACUGGAACUGAGACACGGUCCAGACUCCUACGGGAGGCAGCAGUGGGGAAUAUUGGACAAUGGGCGCAAGCCUGAUCCAGCCAUGCCGCGUGUGUGAAG
rnacentral:rRNA from 1 species